rnacentral:rRNA from 1 species
UACAGGACGAACGCUGGCGGCGUGCUUAACACAUGCAAGUCGAACGGUAAGGCCCUUCGGGGUAUACGAGUGGCGAACGGGUGAGUAACACGUGGGUGAUCUGCCCUGCACUUCGGGAUAAGCCUGGGAAAAUGGGUCUAAUACCGGAUAGAACCAUGGACUUCACGGUUUGUGGUGGAAAGCUUUUGCGGUGUGGGAUGGGCCCGCGGCCUAUCAGCUUGUUGGUGGGGUAAUGGCCUACCAAGGCGACGACGGGUAGCCGGCCUGAGAGGGUGUCCGGCCACACUGGGACUGAGAUACGGCCCAGACUCCUACGGGAGGCAGCAGUGGGGAAUAUUGCACAAUGGGCGCAAGCCUGAUGCAGCGACGCCGCGUGAGGGAUGACGGCCUUCGGGUUGUAAACCUCUUUCAAUAGGGACGAAGCGCAAGUGACGGUACCUAUAGAAGAAGCACCGGCCAACUACGUG